rnacentral:rRNA from 1 species
GACGAACGCUGGCGGCGUGCUUAACACAUGCCAGUCGAACGGAAAGGCCCUGCUUGCAGGGUACUCGAGUGGCGAACGGGUGAGUAACACGUGGGUGACCUGCCCUGCACUUCGGGAUAAGCCUGGGAAACUGGGUCUAAUACCGGAUAGGAGCCAUUUUUAGUGUGAUGGUUGGAAAGUUUUUUCGGUGUAGGAUGAGCUCGCGGCCUAUCAGCUUGUUGGUGGGGUAAUGGCCUACCAAGGCGGCGACGGGUAGCCGGCCUGAGAGGGUGGACGGCCACAUUGGGACUGAGAUACGGCCCAGACUCCUACGGGAGGCAGCAGUGGGGAAUAUUGCACAAUGGGCGCAAGCCUGAUGCAGCGACGCCGCGUGGGGGAUGACGGCCUUCGGGUUGUAAACUCCUUUCGCUAGGGACGAAGCUUUUUGUGACGGUACCUAGAUAAGAAGCACCGGCUAACUACGUG